CCCUUAGAUGUUCUGGGCCGCACGCGCGCUACACUGACGAAUGCAACGAGCUUAUAACCUUGGCCGAAAGGUCUGGGUAAUCUCCAAAUUUCGUCGUGAUGGGGAUAGAUUAUUGCAAUUAUUAAUCUUCAACGAGGAAUGCCUAGUAAGCGCAAGUCAUCGGCUUGCGUUGAUUACGUCCCUGCCCUUUGUACACACCGCCCGUCGCUCCUACCGAUUGAAUGGUCCGGUGAAGCGUUCGGACCGUGGCCUUUGGACGGUUCGCCGUCUGUUGGCUGCGGGAAGUUCGUUAAACCUUAUCAUUUAGAGGAAGGAGAANUCGUANCA
rnacentral:rRNA from 1 species